rnacentral:miRNA from 9 species
UCCUGUUGUUCUGGUACUUACUA